rnacentral:rRNA from 1 species
GACGAACGCUGGCGGCAGGCCUAACACAUGCAAGUCGAACGAAGGCUUCGGCCUUAGUGGCGCACGGGUGCGUAACGCGUGGGAAUCUGCCCUUGGGUUCGGAAUAACAGUUAGAAAUGACUGCUAAUACCGGAUGAUGUCGUAAGACCAAAGAUUUAUCGCCCAAGGAUGAGCCCGCGUAGGAUUAGCUAGUUGGUGGGGUAAAGGCCCACCAAGGCGACGAUCCUUAGCUGGUCUGAGAGGAUGAUCAGCCACACUGGGACUGAGACACGGCCCAGACUCCUACGGGAGGCAGCAGUGGGGAAUAUUGGACAAUGGGCGAAAGCCUGAUCCAGCAAUGCCGCGUGAGUGAUGAAGGCCUUAGGGUUGUAAAGCUCUUUUACCCGGGAUGAUAAUGACAGUACCGGGAGAAUAAGCUCCGGCUAACUUCGUGCCAGCCGCCGCAGUAA